AGAGUUUGAUCAUGGCUCAGAUUCAACGUUGGCGGCGCGCUUAACACAUGCAAGUCGAACGAGAAAGUGGAGCGAUCCAUGAGUACAGUGGCGUACGGGUGAGUAACACGUGGGUAUCUACCUCUUAGUGGGGAAUAACCCUGGGAAACCGGGGCUAAUACCGCAUAAGCCUGAAAGGGGAAAGUCGAAAGACGCUGAGAGAGGAGCCCGCGGCUGAUUAGCUAGUUGGUGGGGUAAAGGCUCACCAAGGCAAAGAUCGGUAGCCGGCCUGAGAGGGCACACGGCCACACUGGCACUGAAACACGGGCCAGACUCCUACGGGAGGCAGCAGUGGGGAAUCUUGCACAAUGGGGGAAACCCUGAUGCAGCGACGCCGCGUGAGCGAUGAAGCCCUUCGGGGUGUAAAGCUCUUUCGACGGGAACGAUAAUGACGGUACCCGGAGAAGAAGCUGCGGCUAACUACGUGCCAGCAGCCGCGGUAAUACGUAGGCAGCAAACGUUGUUCGGAAUUACUGGGCGUAAAGAGUGUGUAGGCGGUUGGGUAAGUUUGGUGUGAAAUCUCUCGGCUUAACUGGGAGGGUGCGCCGAAAACUGCCUGACUUGAGUACUGGAGAGGAUAGCGGAAUUCCUGGUGUAGCGGUGAAAUGCGUAGAUAUCAGGGAGGAACACCUGCGGUGUAGACGGCUGUCUGGACAGUAACUGACGCUGAGACACGAAAGCGUGGGGAGCAAACAGGAUUAGAUACCCUGGUAGUACACGCCCUAAACGAUGCAUACUUGGUGUGGGUGAUUCAUUUUAUCCGUGCCGGAGCUAACGCGUUAAGUAUGCCGCCUGGGGAGUACGGUUGCAAGGCUGAAACUCAAAGGGAAUUGACGGGGGCCCGCACAAGCGGUGGAGCAUGUGGUUUAAUUCGACGCAACGCGAAGAACCUUACCUGGGCUCGAACGGCUCGUGAACGGCUGUAGAAAUAUGGCUUUCCCGCAAGGGACUAGAGUCGAGGUGCUGCAUGGCUGUCGUCAGCUCGUGUCGUGAGAUGUUGGGUUAAGUCCCGCAACGAGCGCAACCCUCGUCCUGUGUUGCUAACCGAAAGGUGCACUCUCAGGAGACUGCCGGCGAUAAGCUGGAGGAAGGUGGGGAUGACGUCAAGUCAUCAUGGCCUUUAUGUCCAGGGCUACACACGUGCUACAAUGGGCGGUACAAACCGCAGCAAACCCGCGAGGGGGAGCAAAUCGGAGAAAACCGUUCUCAGUUCGGAUUGCAGGCUGCAACUCGCCUGCAUGAAGCUGGAAUCGCUAGUAAUGGCGUAUCAGAACGACGCCGUGAAUACGUUCCCGGGCCUUGUACACACCGCCCGUCACAUCACGAAAGUGGAUUGUACUAGAAGUCUGCGUGCUAACCGAAAGGGGGCAGCGGCCCAAGGUAUGAUUCAUGAUUGGGGUGAAGUCGUAACAAGGUAACC
rnacentral:rRNA from 1 species